UUAGUAAAAACCAAACUAGAGGUAUUUUAUUGUUAAUAAAAUCAUUGGAUAUCAAUCCUUACUAGG
rnacentral:tRNA from 1 species